AGCUUUGCACAGUGGCAGAAUUGUAGCCAAUGAGGUUUAUCCAAGGCAUGAUUAUUGCUAAUUGACAUU
rnacentral:snRNA from 1 species